GUGCCACAGGGCAUGGGCUACAGUACUUGGGGAUGGAGAGCAUGGACUGAAGCAGGAGGCCAUGUUGCACCAUACUACUGGCAGUAGAACACCAGGUGUAGUGUGUGAUGAGCAUCAGCAGAAGACUGCCAUGCAAGCUUUCAGGAUGUGUGCUACAGAUGCAAAAAGAAGACUGUCACUCUGGGCUUGAGACAUUAAAAGUUGCUAGCAGAGCCCACUCUUCUCCCUUUUUCUCGAGUGAGGAUGCCAUUACAAAGCCUAUCUUGCAUAGAUCUGAUUUCACAGGCUAACUGCAACACCCUAAGACCAGAAAAGAGAAAGUUUCUUCAUAAAUCAGCAGAAAACUUGCAAAAUUGCCUGGUAAUCCAAAUAAUGUGAUUUUCAGCUUCCAGCUACUCAAGGAAUUAAGGCUGCAGGAAUUAAGGACAACAUUGGGAAGAACUUUGCAGUAAAAUUAAAAUUCCAAAACAUUCUGCCUCUGACAGCUAAGAUCAUGGGGGAAAGACAAGAGCACAGCAUAAGGGACUGCAUAAUAUCAUUUUUAAUUAAAAGCCAUUUGUAAAAUCAGUUGUAGGCAGUUAGGCCGACAUAAGAAAUAGACAGAGAACACGAGGCAAACAUAGGCAUCUCUGCUCAAAAACAAUAGAAACGUGAAAGAAAUAUGAGCCUGUGGGUAUAAUUGUGCUCUCAGUCACACGAGGAGUAGAACGCACAUAUGUCUUAAUUAACUGCACAGCAUUGUAAAGAAGAGCAUAAUCAGAAGCUAUAAAUCCAAGGAUAGGUUAGGGCAAACAACUGAUGAACAGGACCAGCUCUUCAGGAAAGGACUUAGAGAAGUGAAGGUACUCACAGCUGUCAAUUAAUGGGAAUCAAUGGCCUUUGUCACAGCGAGAGGUGGUGAUCUGGGUGUAGUCAUCCAGGAAAAGCAGCACACUUGUUUGUUCAUCUUCUUUUUCUUAUUACAUAAUGCUGAGAGCUCCGCUUCACCUGUCACGUUUUGAAAACUUGUGUAACUUGUUUCCCACUCCAUUUUUUUGUCCUAUUUGGCUUUAUUUUUCAUUUUUGUUUCUGCUUUUCCCAAAUAGAAAAGGACUCCGUUCAUCAAACUCCAAAAUUUUCUCAGGACUCAUCCUAAGAUAUUAACUUUCUAAACAAGUACAUGUAUGAAGGUUGCAUGAGAUGAUUCAGAUUUCUUACUGGUCAUGUCAGAAACAUAUGUACUUAUGCCACAGUUUCUAUAGGUUUCUGAUAUGUCUAAAUGUAGUGUUACCUGAGAAAUUGCCUUCUUAGCAUCUUUAAAAAAAAAAAAAGGAGUAAAUUCUUAGCUUGGAAAGAUAGAAACUGUUAUGCAAAUGUCUUUGGAUUA